rnacentral:rRNA from 1 species
AACGAACGCUGGCGGCAGGCUUAACACAUGCAAGUCGAGCGCCCCGCAAGGGGAGCGGCAGACGGGUGAGUAACGCGUGGGAAUCUACCCAUCUCUACGGAAUAACGCAUGGAAACGUGUGCUAAUACCGUAUACGUCCUUCGGGAGAAAGAUUUAUCGGAGAUGGAUGAGCCCGCGUUGGAUUAGCUAGUUGGUGGGGUAAGGCCUACCAAGGCGACGAUCCAUAGCUGGUCUGAGAGGAUGAUCAGCCACACUGGGACUGAGACACGGCCCAGCCUCCUACGGGAGGCAGCAGUGGAGAAUAUUGGACAAUGGGCGCAAGCCUGAUCCAGCCAUGCCGCGUGAGUGAUGAAGGCCCUAGGGUUGAAAAGCUCUUUCACCGGUGAAGAUAAUGACGGUAACCGGAGAAGAAGCCCCGGCUAACUUCGUGCCAGCCGCCGCAGUAACAC